rnacentral:tRNA from 1 species
GGAGAUGUAACUCAGUGGUAGAGUGCUUGCCUAGCGUGCAUGAAGCUCUGGAUUCCAUCCCCUGCACCA